rnacentral:rRNA from 1 species
AUUGAACGCUGGCGGCAGGCCUAACACAUGCAAGUCGAACGAGUGGCAGACGGGUGAGGAAGGUCUGGGAAACUGCAUGAUGGAGGGGGAUAACUACUGGAAACGGUAGCUAAUACCGCAUACCAUCGGAUGUGCCCAGAUGGGAUUAGCUAGUAGGUGGGGUAAAGGCUCACCUAGGAGACGAUCCCUAGCUGGUCUGAGAGGAUGACCACCCACACGGGAACGGGGCAACGGUCAAGCCUCCUACGGGGGGAAGCAUUGGGGAUUAUUGCACAAUGGGCGCAAGCCUGAUGCAGCCAUGCCGCGUGUAUGAAGAAGGCCUUCGGGUUGUAAAGUACUUUCAGCGGGGAGGCGUUACCCGCAGAAGAAGCACCGGCUAACUCCGUGCCAGCAGCCGCGGUAAUUC